CCUGAAGAAUGUUGGUUCAGAAACCCCGCAACUCCACAACAAGACCAGCCUAUCCUUCAGAUUAUUUACAGAGAGGACAAGUACCUUGGUUUUGAGAAUAGUGCCAUCAGAGAGAUGAACCAUCUUGUAGUAUCCAGACAAUUCGAUAUGAACAACCUUAGACGAAAACCUUAUGGUCCCUUGAGGCAGCUCAUCCGCUAGAGCCUCUAACAGCACCUUCCUCUAAGAAGAAGAAGGAAGAAACAUACUCGGAUUUUGGAAAGAGCAUUUCCUUAGAAGGAUUUCCUGGGGAGAUGUGUCCCACCACCCAUCUGCAUGCGAAGAAGAAGAAGAUCAAAGAUAAAGUUCUCUAGUCACAGAGUUGAUAUGAACAAUACUAGUGUUAGCCUGAUGAUAGAUACCCUUGAAGGAGAUCAUGGAGAUCGCGAACAUGCUGAGAAACGCCGAGAGCUUCCAUAGCCUUCCAAGCGUUGAACCAAGUAGUAAAUGCGAAUCCUGUGGCUCUCAGCUUAUCUGAAGAUUCCAGCACCAUGCUUCUAAUCCCAAGCCUGUGUGACACCACUUUGUUUAACUAACACAAAGGAAGGAUAAGCUACUUUCACAAACACAAACCUAUGAAGUCCAACGGCGGUUGAAAGGCCGGAGAUUCCGGCGCCAACGAUGACAAUAUCUAGGGUGCCUUGUUCUUCCAUGGUGAUCUUGAGGAAGCUCUGCGUUUAUUCCUCUGUUGUUUAUAUUUAAAAAAUACAAAAUUGUGGAGGAAGAUGGCAAGUCAAACAAAGGCACCCAGUUCUAGGCAGGCGGCUAUACAGUAAUUAAAAUCGAAUUUUAAUACUCUAUUAAAUUAUUAUUAUGAAGAAGAGCCCUCCCUACUUAUUCGUAGUAGUGAAAGAGGAGACAAGCGCGUAAUAAAAGGAAACCAUCACAUUAUUUCUCUAAACUUUAUUACAGACAAACAAAUGAUUACACUAAUGCAAGUAGUGUAUAGCUAGCUGCUUAUUUGAAGAAAUUGAUUUAAGAAAGAAAGAAAGAACAAGUCAAAACGUGCAAGGAGGGUCAAAGUAGAAGCUGACGA